rnacentral:rRNA from 1 species
UACGGGGGGGGCAAGCGUUGUUCGGAAUUACUGGGCGUAAAGGGCUCGUAGGCGGCCAACUAAGUCAGACGUGAAAUCCCUCGGCUUAACCGGGGAACUGCGUCUGAUACUGGAUGGCUUGAAUCCGGGAGAGGGAUGCGGAAUUCCAGGUGUAGCGGUGAAAUGCGUAGAUAUCUGGAGGAACACCGGUGGCGAAGGCGAGUCUCUGGACAGUUACUGACGCUGAGGCACGAAGGCCAGGGGAGCAAACGGG